rnacentral:rRNA from 1 species
UACGUAGGGUCCGAGCGUUGUCCGGAAUUACUGGGCGUAAAGAGCUCGUAGGUGGUUUGUCGCGUUGUUCGUGAAAACUCACAGCUUAACUGUGGGCGUGCGGUCGAUACGGGCAUCACUUGAGUUCGGCAGGGGAGACUGGAAUUCCUGGUGUAGCGGUGAAAUGCGCAGAUAUCAGGAGGAACACCGGUGGCGAAGGCGGGUCUCUGGGCCGAUACUGACGUGAGGAGCGAAAGCAUGGGUAGCGAACAGG